AGGGACAACUAAGAUUAAGAACCUGGAUGAAAAUAUUGGCUCCUUGAUAGUAAAACUUUCAAAAGAGGAUCUGAAAGAAAUUUCUGAUGCUGUACCGAUAGAAGAGGUAGCUGGAGGCAGAUUCCCAGAUAUCUUUGACAAAUCAUCGUGGAGGUUUGCAAACACCCCUCCAAAAAGGCAAUGAGGUUUGAAAUAUUCUGGACGCUGGAAUGCUGCCUAUCUCACUCUUGGGGUUGGGAUGCAGUACUUUAUUCAAAUAAAUACCUAAUUAGCUAUAAACUUCGGAUGAUCACUAUGAUCUACUAUAUGUUUGUUAAUUUAGUGUGGCCAUUUGUGAACUGAGAAUAUCUUUUAUUGUAAACCUGAAGUCACAUCCUGAAUUCAAGUUGCUGUAAAAGCUUGCCAACUCUUUUUUUGAAAACAAGGUUGCAAAUUCCAAUAGCUAAAUUUGAGUUCUACCUUGUGGGCUUAACAACAUUUCAAAUUGUAAAUGGUACUUAAGCUUUCUUUUUCAUUUUUUUUUUCUUUCCCUUGUGUGUUUCUUAGGAUUAUGUUCCUGAUUUUGUUGCAUUUACAGAACUGAAUCACUAAUAUAAGCAAAAGCCAAAAUAUUUUCUUGCAACAAAAGCAAAAGAAAGGAUACAAAUUUCUAUCACGAUAGAGAGAAUUCGUUCUCCUUGUUUCAGUAAAUGAUAAGGAAAAUGCAAGGUUGCUUUUAUGUAUUUGAUUAUAGCCUGCUAUGUUGUUGCUACAUGAAUAUUAUGUACUGAAAGAUUUGUACACUCUCUAUGACUCAAGGCUGUUUCCAGCAGGCAAUCACCCAAAUUAAAAGAUGAACUUGUUCCUAUUUUCCUCCUUGUGCGUACUAAUGCAAAAGCUAUUCAAGUAUUGCUCUGAAAAUUUAAAAUCCUUGAUGUUCAAAACUCAAGCUAUUAUAAAUAGUUUAUGGUCGUUGCAUUGCUUGUAUUAUGAGUGUGGCAUUAGCCUUCAAUCAAAGAAAAUACAAAGCCAUGGCAUAUUCAAUUAUUCAUUCAAGGCUAACAUCAGGAGGAUAAAUUCAGCCACAGGAGCCAAAAGAAACGACAGGAUGCACAAUAUUGCAUUCAAAUUGGAUUGCACUCAAAACAUAUUCAAUUGAAACAACACAAUAAUGCGGCACAUAUGUAAUCUUGAUGUUAGAAAAAAUUUCAAGUAUGCUGACAUCCACGUCAUCACACGCCUAUCUAAUAAAAUUUUAGUAUAUAUAUCCAUUUUAAAGUUGGUCAAAAUUAGAUCGUUUAAUAUAAUUUUAUUAGAGGGUCUCGUUAUUUGACAGUCACACCGAGAACAUAAAUAUCUCUCCUACCAGAAAUUUUGCAAAGUCUAGGGCUUAUUUGUCAACUUUUAAACUUUUUUGAACUUGCUUCCAAUUACACUGAACUUCAGGAUUUUGUCCAAACUAUAUAAUUGUAAUAUUACAUUAUUCGCCAUGAUAAAGAUACAGAGAACAUAUUCCAGCUUAGCCCUUGUCAAGACACAACCUUGGAGUUGGAGCCGAGCCACAAUCCUCUUUGUCUCAUUCUGCUCAUUGCUCAAGUUAAAGUCAACCAUCUCUCCUCAUUGAAAGACAUUGAAACAAAGAAGCCAAACUACAGCCUCAAAAAUGGCAGAAGAGAAACACCAAGUUCCAAGAGUGAAAUUGGGUACCCAAGGCCUUGAGGUAAACAACCCAUUUGUAAUUUUCAUUUUUUCAAAAAAGGUCCUGAAAAUUUGUUUUCUAUGAUUGUGUGUUUUGCAUGCUUUUACAGGUUUCAAAAUUGGGUUAUGGAUGCAUGAACCUGAGUGGAGGUUAUAGCUCUCCAGUCUCAGAAGAGGAUGGCAUAUCAAUGAUAAAGCAUGCUUUCAGUAAAGGAAUCACUUUCUUUGAUACUGCUGAUGUGUACGGACAAAAUGCUAAUGAAGUUCUUCUUGGAAAGGUUAUGGUUUUCUGUUGCAAUUUUCUUAACAACGUUUCUGUAUGAUAAAUUUAAUUAUAUACAAUUCACACAUAGAUCAAGUGGUAACUUAAGGAGUAUGAUGGUUACUAAGAUUCGAGAAAUUUUUCUUAUAACUCGUUGACAAUACAAGGAUCACAAUACUAAUAAUGAAAUAUUUUAUGCUAAUAAUGAAAUAUUUUUGUUAAGGGAAUUGGUAAAUAGCUACUUUUGGGUACUAUUGUGGAUAUCAUAGGAUGGAAAUCAUUAUCAGAAUAUUGUGAAUUUAUUGGAAAAAUAAUUCACUCCUUUUCAUUUCAGGCCUUGAAGCAGUUGCCUAGAGAAAAGAUGCAAGUAGCAACAAAGUUUGGGAUUGCAGGAAUAGGAGUUGCUGGUGUGAUCGUGAAGGGUGCCCCUGAUUAUGUGCGCUCGUGUUGUGAAGCUAGCUUGAAGCGCCUUGAUGUGGAUUACAUUGAUCUAUAUUAUCAACAUAGAGUGGACACAUCAGUCCCCAUAGAGGAAACCGUGAGCGAAUUUUUUUUUUUUUGGGGGAUAUCUGAAUUGUAAAGUUCUGUCCCAAAUUGCAAAAUUUGAAGAUUUAUUUUAGAAACUCUAUUACUUGUCAUGUUAUAGAUUGGCGAAAUGAAGAAGCUGGUGGAAGAGGGUAAAAUCAAGUACAUUGGAUUAUCUGAGGCCAGCCCAGGCACAAUUAGGAGAGCACAUGCUGUUCAUCCCAUCACAGCUGUACAAAUGGAAUGGUCCCUCUGGACUCGUGAUAUUGAGGAAGAGAUAAUACCCCUCUGCAGGUUUGUUCUUCUUUCAGUGAACACUAUCCGCAUUAGUCUUUUCUUCUACAGGCCUUUGAAGAGUGUCUAAGGGCCUAUUUAUUUGUUCCAAUCUAGUAUUUCGUACCUAAUGUUUGUAUAAUUUUUUAAAUUUAGUUGCGUGCAUAGAAUAGAUUAGAUUUUAUGUGCAAGUGUAUGCUAAUAAAUACAAGGCUGUCCUUCUGAUACAUUGAGGUGGGCAGGGAACUCGGCAUUGGAAUAGUUCCAUACAGUCCUCUUGGUCGUGGAUUUUUCGGUGGCAAAGCUGUUGUGGAGAAUGUACCUGCAGAUAGCUUUUUGGUACUUUUUUCGGUCAAUGUUUAUCCGCAUCAUUUUGUUUCCUCAGUCAGUACUAUAUAAAUGUUUUAAACUAACAAAAGUAGUUUUACAGUUUCUUUUAAUGCUACUGUUUUAUAUAUCGUAGUAUAUAUGAAAAUGAUACGUGUGUUUGUUUUAUAAGCAUUUUCUUCCUAGGUUCAAAGGAGAGAACCUGGACAGGAACAAGAGUAUUUAUUUUCGCAUAGAGAACCUUGCCAAAAAGUACAAUUGCACUUCUGCUCAACUAGCCCUAGCAUGGGUUCUCGGACAGGGGGAUGAUGUCGUACCUAUUCCCGGUAACUUCUUUCUUUCGAGUUUGUGAUUCAUGUAGUGCCUUGAAGAAGUAUAUAGAGUUUAAAAAACCCAGUGGAUAAAAUGAUAUUACCAGCGAUAUUACUUACUGUUAAGUUGCUUCAAUUUUCAGGGACAACUAAGAUGAAAAACCUUGAUGACAAUAUUGACUCCUUGAGGAUUAAACUUACAAAAGAGGAUCUGAAAGAAAUUUCUGACGCUGUGCCCAUAGAAGAGGUAGCAGGAAACAGAGACCCGGAAGGCUUUGAUAAAGCAUCGUGGAAGUUUGCAAACACACCUCCAAAAGACUGCAAGGUUUGAACUUAAAAUAGUUCUGGAUGCUGCCUAUCUUACUUGGGGCUGGGAUGCAAUACUUUAUUCAAAUAAUGGCAGAUAAAUGCCAAAUUAUCUGUACAAUCUACUACUUGGCUAUCUGCCUAUUUGAUGUUAAACUUUGAUUAUUACGAUCUACUAUAUGUUUGGAAAUUUAGCAUGGCCAAUUUGUGAAAGGAAAAUACGCAUGUUUGAACUUUUCUAAGUUAAAGCUGAAUUCCAAGUUACUAUAAAAUCUUGCCAACUUGCUUUCCUUGAAAAUAAAGAUUAGAAAUAUCCAAAUUUUGGAUUGUAAUGAUUUUCCUGGAUUUUACUUCAUCAUAGUGUAGAUAUAUGUUGAAAUAUUUUCAGCCUUUUUGAGUUCCACGAAUGUGACAUGAAUGAAAUCUGUGAACCAUAUUUUAGCUCAAGCUGUUUCUCAACAAGACCUGGAGGACACUGGAUUGAAAAUAUAGUUUCUCAACAUACUACAUUGUCACUGCAACUUGAGUGGUUAAAUGAUAAAAGGUGAGUAUGUGUUGUUCAGAAAUAAGAAUAAUUGCAUAAAUUGUGAAGUUCACAAUACCAUUCAGGAGGCUAAAUUGACACAUUAAAAAACUUUCAAAUUCCUUCACCAACAAGGCACCAGUGGUCUUGUGGUAGAAUAAUACCCUGCCACGUAACAGACCCAGGUAUAGUAAUUAGCCCCACCUUCGAAUAAUUUUUAUUGUUGCCUUCUUUUGAUUAGUUCCAAAUCCUGCUUUAUUUUGUUAGUCCAUGGUACAAAGUACAAAACAGCAACACCAUUAACUCUCUUACGCCCUCCUUUAAUAAGAGUUAAGCUAAGCUACAAAGAGAGGAAAAGCUAACAGCUUUUCCAAAGAUGGCAGAAAAGAACAGAAUCCAAGUUCCAAGAGUGAAAUUUGGAUUUCCGAUUUGUAGUUUUCAUUUUUCUUUUUGUAUUUUUUUCCUUCAAUGCUGAUAAUUUGUUUUCUCUGACUGUGUUUUUGUGCUUUCACAGGUUUCAAAGCUGGGGUUUGGAUGCAUGAGCCUGAGCGGAGGUUACAAUUCUCGGGUCUCUGAAGAGGAUGGCAUCUCAAUAAUGAAGCAUGCUUUCAACAAAGGAAUCACUUUCUUUGAUACUGCUGAUAGAUAUGGACCAUAUAUACUAAUGAAAUUCUUCUUAGAAAGGUAAUGAUUAAGAAAAUGGAAUAAAAUGAAGUUAUCUUAUCAUGGAAUAACAUUUUAAAAGAAAAUCCAAAAUACAAAUAGGUUAUGUUUAUGCCAAAAAUUUAAAUAAAAAAAUAUAAAUUAGUAAUUAAAUUAACUUAACAAGGAUGAUGUUGCCGUAUUACACACAAAAAUAUAUUUUAUUUUGAUGAAUACUUAACGUUUGUAAAAUAAAUUAAAUUAAUUAGGAGUAAUAUGGACUUCUUAUUAUAAAAUAGCUUAAAUUGUUAGGGUAAGAGUUGAUUGUAGCAUUAUUAAAUUUAAAGGAGUAAGUAGUAUUUCUAACUUAUACUUGAGGAAGGAAUCUGUAAUUUUUCCAUGCAAAUAAGAAAUAUGUUUGUUUAAGGUAAUGGUAAAUAGCUACUCUUAGACAUUACUAAGAAAAUCAUAAGGUGGAAAUCAAAUCAUUGUUAAAAUUAUGUCAAUUUAUUUGGGGGGGAAAAAGUUCACUCCUUUCUAGUUUCUAGCCUUGAAGCAGUUGCCUAGGUUACAAGAUCAGCCACAAAGUUUGGGAUUACAGAAAUAGAUACCCCUGAGUAUGUACUCUGUUUUGUCGUGAAGCAAGCUUGAAGCACCUUGAUUUGAUUAUUAAUUGGUUUGACUUUCCUCUAAUCUUUUGGGUAAUUUCUAUAUAUGCUUUCACUAAAAACAAAUAAAUUUGCAAAGAAUACAUACAUAGAUAACUUUCUUUCAAAAUUAAAAAAAAAAAAAAAAAUGACCAACAAAGUGUUGGCUCCACUGGCAAUGGAGUUCCCUUAAGUGGCUUGACUGGGUUUGCUCCCCAGUUCGAGUCGCAGGGAAGUCGCCUUUGUUGGGAGAAUCUGUGCCUCCCGGUUCGAGCGGGGACUUCUAGUCUGAGUUGUGGUACGGGCUUAAAGGUGCCUCCCACAGUUGGGGCCCUCCCCAGGAUACCUCGUGAUUAAUAUAAAAAAAAAUGACAAGGAGAAAUUAUGAAUAUGAUGAUUCUUUAAAUAAAAAAUUUUACUGAUUUUCUAACAGCACAAAAUGCUUGAGAGGAAGAGAUUCUCAUAAAUCAAAUGUGAAAGGAUUAUGUUACCAUAAUAUAAAUAUGAAAAUGAAUUUUUCAUUUCUACUUAGAGCCUUGGGCCCAAACAAUUUUUUUUUUUCAAGUAUAAUACUUGAAUAGUUACAACAAAUGAUCGGACUAAUGACAUACACAAUACUUGAAUUUUCAGUAUAGAUUUAUAUUGAUGCAACAAAAUUGAUUCUCAUCUUCAUAGGCUAAGAAAUACAAAUCCAUUACUCAACUAAAAUUAUGGCGCAGAAGUUUUUGUUUUUGUUAAGGUUAAAAAAUGAGCAUAAAAGUAUACAUUUAACUGAUAAAUAAUUAGAAAAUUGAUAAAAUUAUUAAUUUUUUUUAGAAAAUUGAUUGAACUAGUCUGCAACAUUAAGUUUCAACAUAUCGUCCAAGGAUAGCCUAGCCAAGUUGGUAGCAAGAGAUUAAAUGUUCCAAUUUAAGGGGAUAUUCAUAGAUGUAAUCUGAAACAAAAAUGAAAUAAAAGUAAAAAUAAGCAAAUAAUGAAGUAAAAUCAUAAUCGAAUAAGAAUGCUAAGUUUUUAAAGAGGAGAGAAAUUACAAGUUAAGAUACGUUCAAAUUUCUUUGCAAACACACCCCUAAAAGAUUGCUAGGUUUGAACUCAAAAUAUUUCUUGAUGCUGCCUUAGUAGCUAUCUAACGCUUGGGGUCGGGAUCAAUACUUUAUUCAAAUAAAUGCUAAAUUAUCAAUAAAUUCUACUACAUGACUCUCUGCCUAUUGGAUGGAAAUUUGUAAAUUUAAUUCUGCCGAUUUUGUGAACUGAAAUUAUCUUUCGUUGUUAACUAGAAGUUAUAGCCUCAAGUUGCAAUAAAAUUUUGGCAAAUAGAGAUUGCAAAAUCCACCAGGAAAAUGCAGGGUGGCUUUUAUGUAUUUUAAUUCAGAUUGCUAUGUUGUUGCUACAUAACUGCCAUGUACCGAAUCAAAUGUAAACGCUUAAGGCUAUUUCUAGUAAAUAAUCUCCUAAAUUAAAAGAUGAAUUUGUUCCUACCUCCUUUUGGAGUUUUGGGUUCUGAUGCAGUGACUAUUCAAAUAUUGUUCUAAAAAGUUUAGAUACUUGACAUUCAAACUAUUAUGAAUAGUUAAUGGUCUUUACAUUGCUUGUAUUAUGAGGUCGGCAUGAGCCCUCAAUCAAAGAAGACACAAAGCCAUUGCAUUUGCAUUCAAGGGUAACAUAGGAGCCUAAAAUUUGCCACAAGAACAAAUAGAAACUACGGAAUAUACACUAUUGUGUUCAAAUUUCGUUCAAUUAAAAUAACGUCGUGGCACAUAUAUAAUUUAUGUUAUUAGAGAAAGUUUUUUAUGACACUAACGUACCAUGUUAUCAUACGUUUAUGCAAUAGAAUUGUAAUAUAUAUCCAUUUUGAAGUUGACCAACCAUGAAAGUGAGAGGAAACAAAAUUAAAACUUGGUGACACAAUAUAUUAUAUGGUCAAAUCGAGACUGUAAAUUUCUCUCCUAAGUUCUAACUGACAUUUUGCAAAGUCUAGGGGAUAUUUCUUAACUUUUAAAAUAUUUUGAACUUGUUUCCAAUUACACUGAACUUUGGGACACUUGUCAAAACUUUAUAAGUUCAUGAUUAAUCAUGAUAAAGAUAAAGAGCACGUGUCCCAGCUUAACACUUUUAGUCAUACGGAGCCUUCGACUUGGAGCCAAACCAGAAUCCUCUGUCUCAUUCUGCUCAUUGUUGACGUUAGAGUCAACUGUCUCUCUACUUAUUGAAACUUGAAAGACACCCAAAACAAAGAAACCAAAACUACAGCUUCAAAAAUGGCAGAAGAGAAACUCCAAGUUCCAAGAGUGAAACUUGGUACCCAAGGCCUCGAGGUAAACUACCCAUAUGUAAUUUUUUUUUUAAAAUCAAAUCCUGGAAAUUUGUUUUCUACAAUUGUGUGUUUUUCACGCUCUUACAGGUUUCAAAGUUGGGGCUUGGAUGCAUGAACCUGAGUUCUGGUUAUAGCUCUCCAGUCUCAGAAGAGGAUGGCAUCUCAAUGAUAAAACAUGCUUUCAGUAAAGGAAUCACUUUCUUUGAUACUGCUGAUGUGUACGGACAAAAUGCUAAUGAAAUUCUUCUGGGAAAGGUUAGAGUCAUUUCUUUGAAUUCUCUUACCUCUUAUAUAAUUCGGACAUAGGUCAAGUGAUAACUUAAGAAUCACAGUCCUGAUGAAAUAUGUUUGUUUAGGAAUUGGUGAAACCUCGUCGGAUUUUUUUGAAUCUUAUUGAAUUAAAAAAAAAAAAAAAAAGAGUACUCCUUCGAUUUCAGGCCUUCAAGAUGUUGCCCAGAGAAAAGGUACAAAUAGCCACAAAGUUUGGGGUUGUAGGACUAAGAGAUAAUGGCGUGAUCGUGAAGGGCACCCCUGAUUACGUGCGCUUGUGUUGUGAAGCUAGCCUGAAGCGACUUGAUGUGGAUUACAUUGAUCUAUAUUAUCAACAUAGAGUGGACACAUCAGUCCCCAUAGAGGAAACCGUGAGCGAUUUUUUUUUUUUUUUUUUUUUUUUUUUGGGCUAUCUGAAUUGUAGAGUUCUGUCCCAAAUUGCAAAAUUUAAAGAAUUAUUUUAGAAACUCUAUUACUUGUCAUGCUAUAGAUUGGUGAAAUGAAGAAGCUGGUGGAAGAGGGUAAAAUCAAGUACAUUGGAUUAUCUGAGGCCAGCCCAGACACAAUUAGGAGAGCACAUGCUGUUCAUCCCAUCACAGCUGUACAAAUGGAAUGGUCCCUCUGGACUCGUGAUAUUGAGGAAGAGAUAAUACCCCUCUGCAGGUUUGUUCUUCUUUCAGUGAAUACUAUCCGCAUUAGUCUUUUCUUCUACAGGCCUUUGAAGAGUGUCUAAGGACCUAUUUAUUUGUUCCAAUCUAGUAUUUUGUACCUAAUGUUUGUAGAAUUUUUUAAAUUUAAUUGCAUGCAUAGAGUAGAUUAGAUUUUCUGUGCAAGUGUAUGCUAAUAAAUACAAGGCUGCCCUUCUGAUACAUUGAGGUGGGCAGGGAACUCGGCAUUGGAAUAGUUCCAUACAGUCCUCUUGGUCAUGGAUUUUUUGGUGGCAAAGCUGUUGUGGAGAGUGUACCUGCAGAUAGCUUUUUGGUACUUUUUCCGAUCAAUGUUUAUCCGCAUCAUUUUGUUUCCUAAGUCAGUACUAUAUAAAAUGUUUUAAACUAGCAAAAGUAGUCUUACAGUUUCUUUAACUGUUUUAUAUAUCGUCGUACAUAUGAAAAUGAUACAUGUAUUUGUUUUAUAAGCAUUUUCUUCCUAGGUUCAAAGGAGAGAACCUGGACAGGAACAAGAGUAUUUAUUUUCGCAUAGAGAACCUUGCCAAAAAGUACAAUUGCACUUCUGCUCAACUAGCCCUAGCAUGGGUUCUUGGACAGGGGGAUGAUGUCGUACCUAUUCCCGGUAACUUCUUUCUUUCGAGUUUUUGAUUCAUGUAUUACCUUGAAGAAGUAUAUAGAGUUUAAAAAACCCAGCGGAUAAAAAGAUAUUACCAGCAAUAUUACUUACUGUUAAGUUGCUUCAAUUUUCAGGGACAACUAAGAUUAAAAACCUUGAUGACAAUAGUGACUCCUUGAGGAUUAAACUUACAAAAGAGGAUCUGAAAGAAAUUUCUGACGCUGUGCCCAUAGAAGAGGUAGCAGGAGACAGAGACCCGGAAGGCUUUGAUAAAGCAUCGUGGAAGUUUGCAAACACACCUCCAAAAGACUGCUAGGUUUCAACUUAAAAUAGUUCUUGAUGCUGCCUAUCUUACUUGGAGCUGGGAUACAAUAGUUUAUUCAAAUAAUGGCAGAUAAAUGCCAAAUUAUCUGUACAAUCUACUACUUGGCUAUCUGCCUAUUUGAUGUUAAACUUUGAUUAUUACGAUCUACUAUAUGUUUGGAAAUUUAGCAUGGCCAAUUUGUGAAAUGAAAAUACGCAUGUUUGAACUUUUCUAAGUUAAAGCUGAAUUCCAAGUUACUAUAAAAUCUUGCCAACUCGCUUUCCUUGAAAAUAAAGAUUGGAAAUAUCCAAAUUUUGGAUUGUAACAAUUUUCCUGGAUUUUACUUCAUCAUUGUAUAGAUAUAUGUUGAAAAAAUUUCAGCCUUUUUGAGUUCCAUGAAUGGGACAUGAAUGAAAUCUAUGAACCAUAUUUUAGCUCAAGCAGUUUCUCAACAAGACCUGGAGGAUACUUUAUUGAAAAUAUAGUUUCUCAACAUAAUACAUUGUCACUGCAACUUGAGUGGUUAAAUGAUAAAAGGUGAAUAUGUGUUGUUCAGAAAUAAGAAUAAUUGCAUAAAUUGUGAAGUUAACAAUGCUAUUUAGGAGGCGAAAUUGACACAUUGAUAAACUUUCAAAUUCCUUUACCAACAAGGCACCAGUGGUCCAGCGGUAGAAUCCCCCCCCCCCCCCCCCCGGCGCGGGUAUGGUAAUCAGCCCCAACGUCGAACAAUUUUUAUUGUUGCCUUCUUUUGAUUAGUUCCAAAUCCUGCUUUAUUUUGUUAGUCCAUGGUACAAAGUACAAAACAGCAACACCAGUAACUCUCUUACGCCCUCCUUUAAUAAGGAUUAAGCUAAGCUACAAAGAGAGGAAAAGCUAACAGCUUUUCCAAAGAUGGCAGAAAAGAACAAAAUCCAAAUUCCAACAGUGAAAUUUGGAUUUCCGAUUUGCAGUUUUAAUUUUUUUCUCUCUGUUUUUUUUUUUCCUUUAAUGCUGAUAAUUCGUUUUCUCUAAUGAUGGUCAGUGGGCCGUGCCGGCACCAAACGUCGGCCCACACAGGCUCGUGGGCUGGCACCGCACGGCCCACUAAUUUGGUGGGUCAUGUUUAUUUUUUUUAUAAGAGUCCGGCACGGCCCACCAGCCUAAUAAUAACAAUAAUAAUAAUAAUAAUAAUUUCAUAGAUCAUAGUAAUAAUUAAUGAAAAAUAAAAUUACAAUUUUAGAAUAACAAUUACAUCUAAUUUUAUUUGAACUACUAAUAUUAUAAUUGCACAUAAACUCUAUUGAAUGAAAAUGUAAUUUUUAAUUUAUCAUAAAAAUAUUUUGUUCAUAAUUUUAUUUUUUUGUGUAUAAAUAUGAAAAAUAUUUCAUUCACAAAUGAAACAUAUCUCCAUUAACUAUUAACUAAGUUAUGAUUUCAUAAAUGAAAUAUUAAUGUCGUAAAAUUUUUUAUUUAUCAUUUAUAAAAUCAUGAUAUUUAUUUAUCCAUUUAAUAAAUUAUAAACAUAAAAAAAAAUUAGAAUAUUUAUUUAAACUAGGACUUAAAUUAAUUUUAAAAAGCCUAUGCUAAAAAAAUAUAUUAAAAAAUUUAAUUUCAAGAUAUUUAUAAAAUCAUGAUAUUUUAUAUUUAUUUUUCAUUAAAAAAUUUUAUUUUGAUAUACUUUGACCCACGGGCCGCGUGCUUAGCCCACUAAUGAAGCGUGCUUAUUACGUGCCUUUUUCGCGUGCCGUGCUUUGGCCCAUAUUUAAUCGUGCUGUGCUUUUAAGACCCGCGUGCCUAAAAUUCUAGGCUCGGCACGACCCACGUGCAUGUCAUGCCGUGCCUCGUGCCCUACCGAAACGUGCUCGUGUUGUGCCGUGUCUUGUGCCACCCGGCCCAUUUGUCAUCUCUAGUUUUCUCUGACUGUGUUUUUUUGCUUUCACAGGUUUCAAAGUUGGGGUUUGAAUGCAUGAGCCUAAGUGGAGGUUACAGUUCUCCCGUCUCUGAAGAGGAUGGCAUCUCAAUAAGAAAGCAUGCUUUCAACAAAGGAAUCACUCUUUUUUUUUUUUAACUAAUUAAGCAUCAGGUUACUGUAUUACAUAGACAUUUACAAUUGCUAUGACAGUAGAUCAUUACACUGAUAUUUACAAUUAAAUAUAUAAUUGGGACUUACAUUAUUACAUUAUUAAUUUUAUGAAAUACAUGCCAAACAAAUAAUCCUUAUGGAAGAACGGUGUCUUUACUCCACUCGCAUUUCAAAAUGGAGAAAUACUUCACAAAUAAUUUUCACAAAAUUAUGUUUAAUUGAGGGAUGUUGAGUUCAUGGGGAUUCGAACCAUUGCCCUCAUAGUUAUGCUUAACUUUAAAGGCCAAUGGUUCACCACUGGGCUAAAGCCCAAGUGGCAGGAACCACUUUCUUUGAUACUGCUUAGUGCUGAUAGAUAUGGACCUUACACUAACGAAAUUCUUCUUAGAAAGUUAAUAAUUAUGAAAAUGGCAUAAAAUGAAAUUAUCUUAUCAUGGAAUAACAUUUUAAAAGAAAAUCCAAAAUCCAAAUAGCUUAUAUUUAUGUUAAAAUUCUAAAUAAAAAAAUCAUAAAUUAGUAACUAAAUUAACUUAAUAAGAAUAACAUUGUCGUAUUACACACAAAAAAAAAAUCAUUUUGAUGAAUAUUUAAUGUUUGUAAAAUAAAUUAAAUUGAUUAGGGCAAUAUGGACUUUUUAUUAUAAAAUAACCUAAAUUGUUAGGGAAAUAAUUAACUGUAGCAUUGUUAAAUUUAAAGGGGUAAGUAGUAUUUCUAACUUAUUGAGUUAUUUCCAUAAUAAUAACCUAAAUAUGUUUGUUUAAGGUUUUGGCAAAUAGCUACUCUUAGACAUUACUAAGAAUAUCUGAAGAUGAAAAUCAAAUCACUGUUAAAAUUACCCCUGAGAAGCCACGAAGUUUGGGACUACAGAAAUAGAUACCCCUGAGUAUGUGCUCUGCCUUGUUGUGAAGCAAGCUUGCAGCACCUUGAUUUGAUUAUUAAUUGGCUUGACUUCCCUCUAAUUUUGGAUAAUUUCUUUAUAUGCUUUUCACUAAAAACAAAUAAAUUUACAAAGAAUACAUGCAUAGAUAACUUUCUUUCAAAUUUAAAAUGAAAAAUAAAUUGCGAAAAGAAAUUGUGAAUCUGAUGAUUCUUUUAAUAAAAAAAUUUACUGAUUAUAUGGUCAAAUCGAGACUGUAAAUUUCUCUCCUAAGUUCUACAUGACAUUUUGCAAAGUUUAGGGGAUAUUUCUUAACUUUUUAAAUAUUUUGAACUUGUUUUCAAUUACACUGAACUUUAGGACACUUGUCAAAACUUAUAAGUUCAUGAUUAAUCAUGAUAAAGAUAAAGAGCACGUGUCCCAGCUUAACACUUUUAGUCAUUCUGCUCAUUGUUGACGUUAGAGUCCACUGUCUCUCUACUUAUUGAAACUUGAAAGACACCCAAAACAAAGAAACCAAAACUACAGCUUCAAAAAUGGCAGAAGAGAAACUCCAAGUUCCAAGAGUGAAACUUGGUACCCAAGGCCUCGAGGUAAACUACCCAUAUGUAAUUUUUUUUUUUUAUCAAAUCCUGGAAAUUUGUUUUUCAUGGUCUUACAGGUUUCAAAGUUGGCGCUUGGAUGCAUGAACCUGAGUUCUGGUUAUAGCUCUCCAGUCUCAGAAGAGGAUGGCAUCUCCAUGAUAAAACAUGCUUUCAGUAAAGGAAUCACUUUCUUUGAUACUGCUGAUGUGUACGGACAAAAUGCUAAUGAAACUCUUCUGGGAAAGGUUAUGGUCAUUUCUUUGAAUUCUCUUACCUCUUAUAUAAUUCAGACAUAGGUCAAGUGGUAACUUAGGAACCACAGUCCUGAUGAAAUAUGUUUGUUUAGGAAUUGGUGAAUAAUUACUUUUGUAUCAUAGAAGGGAAACCUUGUCAGAAUUUUUAGAAUUUUAUUGAAUUAAAAAAAAAAAAAAAGAGUACUCCUUCGAUUUCAGGCCUUCAAGAUGUUGCCCAGAGAAAAGGUACAAAUAGCCACAAAGUUUGGGGUUGUAGGACUAAGAGAUAAUGGCGUGAUCGUGAAGGGCACCCCUGAUUACGUGCGCUCGUGUUGUGAAGCUAGCUUGAAGCGACUUGAUGUGGAUUACAUUGAUUUGUAUUAUCAACAUAGAGUGGACACAUCGGUCCCUAUCGAGGAAACCAUGAGUGAUAUUUUUUCUCCCGGGCUAACUAUCUGAAUCGUAAAGUUCUGUCUUAAAUUACAAUAUUUAAAGAGUUUUUUAGAAACUAUAUUCCUUGUCAUGUUAUAGAUUGGCGAAAUGAAGAAGCUGGUGGAGGAGGGUAAAAUCAAGUACAUUGGUUUGUCUGAGGCUAGCCCAGACACAAUUAGGAGAGCACAUGGUGUUCAUCCCAUCACAGCUGUACAAAUGGAAUGGUCCCUCUGGACUCGUGAUAUCGAGGAAGAGAUAAUACCCCUCUGCAGGUUUGUUCUUCUUUCAGUGAACACUAUCCACAUUAGUCUUCUCUUUUACAGUCCUUUGAAGAGUGUCUAAGGACCUAUUUACCUUUUCCAAUCUAGUAUUUUGUGUCUAAUGUCUGUAGAAUUUUAAAAAAAAUAAUUGCUUGCUUAGAAUAGAUUAGAUUUUCUGUGCAAGUAUAUGCUAAUAUAUACAAGGCUGCUUUUCUUAUACAUUGAAGUGGGCAGGGAACUUGGCAUUGGAAUUGUUCCAUACAGCCCUCUUGGUCGUGGGUUUUUCGGUGGCAAAGCUGUUGUGGAAAGUGUACCCGCAGAUAGCGUUUUGGUACUUUUUUCAUAAAUGUUUAUCCACAUCAAUUUGUUUCCUAUGUAGUGUAUAAAUGUUUUAAAAUAGCAACAGUAGUUUCCAGUUUCCUUUAAUGCUAAUGUUUUAUAUAUCAUAAUACAUAUUAAAAUGAUGCAUAUGUUUGUUUUAUAAGCAUUUUUUUCCUCGGUACAAAGGAGAGAACCUGGACAGGAACAAGAAUAUUUAUUUUCGCAUAGAGAAUCUUGCCAAAAAGUACAAAUGCACUUCUGCUCAACUAGCCCUAGCAUGGGUUCUUGGACAGGGGGAUGAUGUCGUACCUAUUCCUGGUAACUUACUUUCUUUUGAGUUUGUGAUUCAUGUAGUGCCUUGAAGAAGUAUAUAGAGUUUAAAAAACCCAGCUGAUAAAAAUGAUAUUACCAGCAAUGUUACUUACUGUUAAUUUGCUUCAAUUUUCAGGGACAAUAUUGACUCCUUGAGGAUUAAACUUACAAAAGAGGAUGUGAAAGAAAUUUCUGACGCUGUGCCCAUAGAAGAGGUAGCAGGAGACAGAGACCCGGAAGGCUUUGAUAAAGCAUCGUGGAAGUUUGCAAGCACACCUCCAAAAGACUGCAAGGUUUGAACUUGAAAUAGUUCUGGAUGCUGCCUAUCUUACUUGGGGCUGGGAUGCAAUACUUUAUUCAAACAAUGGCAGAUAAAUGCCAAAUUAUCUGUACAAUCUACUACAUGGCUUUCUGCGUAUUUGAUGUUAAACUUUAGUCAUUAUGAUAUACCGUAUGUUUGGAAAUUUAGCAUGGCCAAUUUGUGAAAU
rnacentral:lncRNA from 1 species